rnacentral:rRNA from 1 species
CCUGGCUUAGGACGAACGCUGGCGGCGUGCCUAAUACAUGCAAGUCGAACGGUCUUUCUAUGGAAGCUUGCUUCCACUGAGAAGAUAGUGGCGAACGGGUGAGUAACACGUGGGUAACCUGCCCAUAAGAGGGGGAUAACAUCCGGAAACGGGUGCUAAUACCGCAUAGUUUUCUUGAUCGCAUGAUUGAGAAAGGAAAGACGGCCUUUGUGCUGUCGCUUAUGGAUGGACCCGCGGCGUAUUAGUUAGUUGGUGAGGUAACGGCUCACCAAGACGAUGAUACGUAGCCGACCUGAGAGGGUGAUCGGCCACAUUGGGACUGAGACACGGCCCAAACUCCUACGGGAGGCAGCAGUAGGGAAUCUUCCGCAAUGGACGAAAGUCUGACGGAGCAACGCCGCGUGAGUGAAGAAAGGGUUUUCGGAUCGUAAAACUCUGUUGUCAGAGAAGAACAAGUUGGAGAGUAACUGCUCCAGCCUUGACGGUAUCUGACCAGAAAGCCACGGCUAACUACGUGCCAGCCGCAGC